GGGGGUGUAGCUCAGUGGUAGAGCGUGUGCUUAGCAUGCAUGAGGUCCUGGGUUCGAUCCCCAGCACCUCCA
rnacentral:tRNA from 1 species